rnacentral:rRNA from 1 species
UACGUAGGGUGCAAGCGUUUAAUCGGAAUUACUGGGCGUAAAGCGUGCGCAGGCGGUUUUGUAAGUCUGACGUGAAAUCCCCGGGCUCAACCUGGGAAUUGCGUUGGAGACUGCAAGGCUGGAGUCUGGCAGAGGGGGGUAGAAUUCCACGUGUAGCAGUGAAAUGCGUAGAGAUGUGGAGGAACACCGAUGGCGAAGGCAGCCCCCUGGGUCAAGACUGACGCUCAUGCACGAAAGCGUGGGGAGCAAACAGG